rnacentral:rRNA from 1 species
GAUGAACGCUAGCUACAGGCUUAACACAUGCAAGUCGAGGGACCGGCGCACGGGUGAGUAACACGUAUCCAACCUGCCCUUUACUCGGGGAUAGCCUUUCGAAAGAAAGAUUAAUACCCGAUAUAAAGGACGGGGAUGCGUUCCAUUAGGUUGUUGGUAAGGUAACGGCCCACCAAGCCUUCGAUGGAGAGGGGUUGGGAGAGGAAGGUCCCCCGCAAUGGAGCUGAGACCCGGUCCAAAAUCCUACGGGAGGCAGCAGUAAGGAAUAUUGGUCAAUGGACGCUAGCCUGAACCAGCCAAGUGGAGUGAAGGAUGAAGGCUUAUGAGUCGUAAACUUGUUUUAUAGAAGAAUAUGUAUUAUAUGAAUAAGGAUCGGCUAACUCCGUGCCAGCAGCCGCGGUAAUAC